rnacentral:rRNA from 1 species
UACGGAGGGUGCGAGCGUUGCUCGGAAUGACUGGGCGUAAAGGGCGCGUAGGCGGCUUUGUAAGUUAGAGGUGAAAGCCUGGAGCUCAACUCCAGAAUUGCCUUUAAGACUGCAUCGCUUGAAUCCGGGAGAGGUGAGUGGAAUUCCGAGUGUAGAGGUGAAAUUCGUAGAUAUUCGGAAGAACACCAGUGGCGAAGGCGGCUCACUGGACCGGUAUUGACGCUGAGGUGCGAAAGCGUGGGGAGCAAACAGG